GAUUGAUGUGUGUUCUAAGUCAUUACAUAUUGCCCUUAAAGUGCACUGGUUUUUGAUGGCGGAGUUGGAGGAUUCAGAUGAUAAUGAGGGGAUAAGUAGGCUUCAGGAGAAGUGUCAGAUUGCUGCUACUUUGAUGGGUGAGUGGCCACCUUUGAUAAAACCUCCAAACACUUCAUCUAAUCUAUUGGGAAAGAAUCAGAUGCUUAAUAAGUUAUUGUCUUCAAAACAGAAGCUAUUAUCCUUGACAUCUUCACCACCAGCUGUACAGCGGGCUCUGUCGUUUUCACCCUCAGGGAGUUCAUUGCCACAGGAUGAUGGUCUUGGAAGUAAGAUAUCGUCGCCUGAGGAAAAUAAGAUUUUUAAGAAGUUGAUUCCGGGUCUAAAAGUAAGAGAUGCAUUGCUCUUCAGGAAAUCCGUG
rnacentral:misc_RNA from 1 species